AUGUUUAAAACUGUGCCGUAAAAUGGAUGAUUAAGCCCUUUGCUAGACCAAAAAAUAAGACUAUUUUUAGGACAAGCAGAAGCAAGUGUCCCUGGAUCCCUAAACAAAGAUGUCGUCUGUGCUCUUACCUCAGCAUCUCAGAUGCCAAAACCUCCUGUGGCCAACAUGGCGGCGCCCAGACAUCAAAGCUGCGCUUUCUUUGUCUCCAGCAGCCUGGGCCACUCCAGAGGUGUUAAAGCUCCAGCACUUCCAGCCUGCCUCGUGGGAAGGUCUUAGGCUGAGUCUGUAGGUGCCUGCAGUAAGAAGCCAGCGGUCUGCAUAUGAUUGCUCAAGGGUGGUGGCUGGGUACCAACAGCAUUCACUACAGGCCUGCCUUGAAUACCAUCUAACGCAGUGCCCCGCAUAUCACAGGGGCUGGAAACCUAACAAUUUCACUUCCUAGGCUACUUGCUAAAAGUCACCUAAAGACAGUCUGAUUACUGCCAAAGAUAUGCUUUCAAAUAAGAUUUGGAUAAAGAAGGGAGUUAGAUGCCUUUUUUCAGCAGUGGAGUGAUGUCCAGACCAGUAGAUACAGGCAUCUGAGUGAACUCAUCACCAGCAACAAUUUCCUGAAACUUCCUGACCUCCAGACUGCAGCUUCAUUAGUGUGAGUUUAAAGCCAACUAGAUGCCAUUCUUAGAUUCCAUGCAUAUGGCCAAAGGUCCAGGAAAUAAGAAGAAACAGGGUUGACGAGUUGGUGUUACGGGGCAUUUACUUGAAUUUUCUAUGCUAUAAUUGUCUCAUCUUUAAAAUGGUGAUAAUAAUAAAAUUGUCAGUUAUUAAAUAAAUUAACACAGUG